rnacentral:tRNA from 1 species
GGGCCGUUAGCUCAGGUGGUAGAGCACCUGACUUUUAAUCAGGGUGUCACAGGUUCGAGUCCUGUACGGCCCA